rnacentral:rRNA from 1 species
GACGAACCGUCCAACCGUUGUUCGGAAUCACUGGGCUUAAAGGGCGCGUAGGCGGGUUCCCAAGUCAGGGGUGAAAUCUUUCGGCUCAACCGGAAAAGGGCCUCUGAUACUGGGAACCUCGAGGGGGGUAGGGGUCGAUGGAACUGGUGGUGGAGCGGUGAAAUUCGUAGAUAUUCGCAAGAACACCAGUGGCGAAGGCGGUCUCCUGGAGCAGACUUGACGCUGAGGCGCGAAAGCUGGGGGAGCGAACGGG